AGCGACGACUUCUUCUUCCACGUCUCCUUUCAAUUAUUUGGCGCGAGCGCUUGCUUCGGCCGACGUCGGUUUCCUGUGCUGAAUACCUAUUGCGAGGGCAUUGUGUCGGCUACGUUUGUUCGCUUCCCACCUUGUGCCGCUGCUCCACGUGGGCGUGCGGUGCGGGGCGGGCCAAAUCGCGCGCGUCGUGUGUCGCACCGCGUUCGCCCCUAGGGGCGUUCGGGUUGUCGACCCACGACGUGUGCUCGGUCUCUCGGGUACGGUGCAUCAUGUGGGUACGAAGCCUUUCGGCCUCCGAGCACCACAAUCAAGCGUUCUACGCUUCGUGCGAACGACCGUCGGUUCGGUCUUUGGCCGUGCUCUCGCAGCUC
rnacentral:misc_RNA from 1 species